GACGAACGCUGGCGGCGUGCCUAACACAUGCAAGUCAAGGAGAAAGGGGUAGCAAUAUCCCGAGUAAACUGGCGCACGGGUGAGUAAGGCGUAGGCAACCUGCCUAUAGGACGGGAACAACUCAGCGAAAGCUGAACUAAUACCCGAUAAUGCAGCGGCAUCGCAUGAUGAUGUUGUUAAAAGCCCGCAAGGGCGCCUAUAGAUGGGCCUGCGUCCCAUUAGGUAGUUGGUGAGGUAACGGCCCACCAAGCCUACGAUGGGUAGCUGGUCUGAGAGGAUGAUCAGCCACACUGGAACUGAGACACGGUCCAGACUCCUACGGGAGGCAG
rnacentral:rRNA from 1 species